rnacentral:rRNA from 1 species
CCUACGGGAGGCUGCAGUGGGGAAUAUUGGACAAUGGGCGAAAGCCUGAUCCAGCCAUGCCGCGUGUGUGAAGAAGGCCUUCGGGUUGUAAAGCACUUUCAGUGGGGAAGAAAGCCUUGGGGCUAAUACCCUCGAGGAAGGACAUCACCCACAGAAGAAGCACCGGCUAACUCCGUGCCAGCAGCCGCGGUAAUACGGAGGGUGCGAGCGUUAAUCGGAAUUACUGGGCGUAAAGCGCGCGUAGGCGGUCUGAUAAGCCGGUUGUGAAAGCCCCGGGCUCAACCUGGGAACGGCAUCCGGAACUGUUAGGCUAGAGUGCAGGAGAGGAAGGUAGAAUUCCCGGUGUAGCGGUGAAAUGCGUAGAGAUCGGGAGGAAUACCAGUGGCGAAGGCGGCCUUCUGGACUGACACUGACGCUGAGGUGCGAAAGCGUGGGUAGCAAACAGGAUUAGAUACCCUAGUAGUC